rnacentral:rRNA from 1 species
GAUGAACGCUGGCGGCGUGCCUAAUACAUGCAAGUCGAGCGGACGGACGAGAAGCUUGUUUUUCUGAGGUUAGCGGCGGACGGGUGAGUAAUACGUGGAUAACAAACUUCUAAGUCUUGGAGGAUAACGGGAAGCCAGUGCUGCUAAUACGUCAUAUUUUGUACCGGUUGCAUCAAAGGUGAAAGACGGACUUUGUGUCGCUUUGAGAUGGAUUCGCGCUGGAUUAGCUAGUUGGUAAGGUGACGGCUUACCAAGGCGACGAUGAAUAGCCGGCCUGAGGGGGUGAUCGGCCACACUGGAAGUGAGGCACGGUCCAGACUCCUACGGGAGGCAGCAGUAGGGAAGAUUGCGCAAUGGGCGAAAGCCUGACGGAGCAACGCCGCGUGGGUGAUGAAGGUCUUCGGCUCGUAAAGCUCUUUUAUUGGGAAAGAACAGAUGUGGCAGUAACUGUGGAUGUCUUGACGGUACCUAAUCAGGAAGCCACGGCUAACUACGUG